UGGUGGGUUUCACUUCCGGGAAAUGGCUGA
rnacentral:piRNA from 1 species